CCUUGCCAGCCCGCUCAGAAACUUAAAGGAAGUUGACGGGGGCCCGCACAAGCGGUGGAGCAUGUGGUUUAAUUCGAUGAUACGCGAGGAACCUUACCUGGGCUCAAAUGUAUGUUGACGUAUUCUGAAAGGGAUACUUCUUCGGACAAUAUACAAGGUGCUGCAUGGUUGUCGUCAGCUCGUGCCGUGAGGUGUCGGGUUAAGUCCCAUAACGAGCGCAACCCCUAUCAUUAGUUGCCAUCAGGUCAAGCUGGGGACUCUAAUGAAACUGCCUACGCAAGUAGUGAGGAAGGUGGGGAUGACGUCAAAUCAGCACGGCCCUUACGUCCAGGGCUACACACGUGCUACAAUGGCCGGUACAAAGGGCAGCUACCUGGUGACAGGAUGCUAAUCUCAAAAGCCGGUCUCAGUUCGGAUCGGAGUCUGCAACCCGACUCCGUGAAGUUGGAUUCGCUAGUAAUCGCGCAUCAGCCAUGGCGCGGUGAAUACGUUCCCGGGCCUU
rnacentral:rRNA from 1 species